UGAUACGGAGGCCCUGAGGUGCAAAACACAACAGCAAAUCAGAAAACACAACAACAAAUCAGAAAACACGAUGGCAAAAGAGAAAACACAACAGCAAUAACCAAACCGGAAAACAUAGGUACCCUCUUUUUGUCUUGUGUUUUCUCUUUUUGUGUUGUGUUUUGUGAUUUGCCGUUGUGUUUUGCACCUCAGGGCCACCGCAGU